UUCUGGUGCCCGAGCCGCGGUAAUUCCAGCUCCAUAGCGUAUAUAAAGUUGUUGCAGCUAAAAAGCUCGUAGUUGAACCUUGGGUCGGCUGGCCGGUCCGCCUCACCGCGAGUACUGGUCCGGCUGGACCUUUCCUUCUGGGGAAUCUCAUGGCCUUCACGGCUGUGGGGGGAACCAGGACUUUUACUGUGAAAAAAUUAGAGUGUUCAAAGCAGGCCUUUGCUCGAAUACAUUAGCAUGGAAUAAUAGAAUAGGACUGCGGUUCUAUUUUGUUGGUUUCUAGGACCGCCGUAAUGAUUAUAGGGAUAGUCGGGGGCGUCAGUAUUCAGCUGUCAGAGGUGAAAUUCUUGGAUUUGCUGAAGACUAACUACUGCGAAAGCAUUCGCCAAUGGAUGUUUUCAUUAAUCAGGGAACGAAAGUUAGGGGAUCGAAGACGAUCAGAUACCGUCGUACUCUUAACCAUAAACUAUGCCGACAGGGAUCGGACGGUGUUUCUAUUAUGACCCGUUCGGCACCUUACGAGAAAUCAAAGUUUUUGGGUUCUGGGGGGAGUAUGGUCGCAAGGCUGAAACUUAAAGAAAUUGACGGAGGGCACCACCAGGCGUGGAGCCAGCGGCUUAAUUUGACUCAUCACGGGGAAACUCACCAGGUCCAGACAAAAUAAGGAUUGACAGAUUGAGAGCUCUCUCUUGAUCUCUUGGAUGGUGGUGCAUGGCCGUUAUGGUUGGUGGAGUGAUUUGUGUGCUGAAUUGCGAUACGAACGAGACCUCGGCCCUUAAUAGCCGGUCACAUUUGUGCGCCGCUGGCUUUUAGGGGGAAAUCGGUUAAGCCGCUGUAGGUGCGCGGCAAUCACAGGCUCUGGGACCUAAGAAG
rnacentral:rRNA from 1 species